GUCCUUGGAAGAUGGGUGUCAGAGCUCUGGGACCCUAGUACAUCUCUGUCUGGGGGCACUUACCUGGCUUAAGCAUCAGCACUUUCUCUCAUCUAGCACACUCUUUCUUGGGCACCCAUUGGAGGAAAUCUCUAACUACAGUGCCUCCAGGAAGCUCAUUGGUUAUUCCAGUCUUAGAUAAAAUUGGUACCAGGAUUUGGUUCGAACUAAUGUGGAGGAAAAUAUUUCCUACCGGUCCCUAGUGUCAGAGUGGUGAACCCCUGCAGCCAGCAG
rnacentral:lncRNA from 1 species